rnacentral:rRNA from 1 species
UCCCAGCUGUAAACUAUGCAAACUCAGUGAUGCACUGGCUUAUGGCCAGUGCAGUGUUGCAGGGAAGCCGUUAAGUUUGCCGCCUGGGAAGUACGUACGCAAGUAUGAAACUUAAAGGAAUUGGCGGGGGAGCACCACAAGGGGUGAAGCCUGCGGUUCAAUUGGAGUCAACGCCAAAAAUCUUACCCGGAGAGACAGCAGAAUGAAGGUCAAGCUGAAGACUUUACCAGACA